rnacentral:rRNA from 1 species
GAUGAACGCUGGCGGCGUGCCUAAUACAUGCAAGUCGAGCGAACGGACGAGAAGCUUGCUUCUCUGAUGUUAGCGGCGGACGGGUGAGUAACACGUGGAUAACCUACCUAUAAGACUGGGAUAACUUCGGGAAACCGGAGCUAAUACCGGAUGAUAUUUUGAACCGCAUGGUUCAAAAGUGAAAGACGGUCUUGCUGUCACUUAUAGAUGGAUCCGCGCUGCAUUAGCUAGUUGGUAAGGUAACGGCUUACCAAGGCAACGAUGCAUAGACGACCUGAGAGGGGGAUCGGCCACACGGGAACUGAGACACGGUCCAGACUCCUGCGAUAGGCAGCAGUAGGGAAUCUUCCGCAAUGGGCGAGAGCCUGACGGAGCAACGCCGCGUGAGUGAUGAAGGUCUUCUGAUCGUAAAACUCUGUUAUUAGGGGAGAACAUAUGUGUAAGUAACUGUGCACAUCUUGACGGUACCUAAUCAGAAAGCCACGGCUAACUACGUG